CCUAUUCCUUUGUCAAAUAUGGUUUUCCACAAUGAAUUACUUCUCUAGCAGAUAUUGCAGGGCAGUAAGACUCGGAGGACAGUCAUCAGGAAGGCUUCUGUUUAUUUUUUUUCUUUAUUUUUGAGGAAGACUAUCCCUGAGCUAACAUCUGCCGCCAAUCCUCUUCUUUUUGUUGAGGAAGACUGGCCCUGAGCUAACAUCUGUGCCCACCUUCCUCUACUUUAUCUGUGGGAGGCCUGCCACAGCAUUGCUUGAUAAGUCGUGCGUAGGUCUGCACACAGGAUCCGAACAGGUGAAUCCCGGGCCGCCAAAGCAGAACGUGCACACUUAACUGCUGCGCCACCAGGCGGGCCCCAGGAAGGCUCCUGUUUUGGUGGUAGUAUCAACCAAACAAAAUCAGGAAGACUACAUGGUGGGAAGAGGCAAGAACUGGACAUCUGUCUUGGUUUAGUCCACAGUUAAAGAGCACUGAUUUUCUUUCAUAGUAGACAAGCUCAUCUUCAGGAAAACUGACAGAUCUCUUCCCCUGCAAAAAACAACCGCAUGCUUGAUGGGACUCAGACCUGGGCCCAUCAGUCACCUCUAGGUCAGGAGGUAUUAGAGAGACAGGAAGACUAGCCCUGAGCUAACAUCCGUGCCCAUCUUCCUCUACUUUAUAUGUGGAACACCUACGACAGCAUGGCUUGCCAAGCGGUGCCAUGUCCACACCCAGGAUCCAAACCAGCGAACCCCAGGCCGCUGAAGUGGAACGUGGGAACUUAACCACUGCGCCACCGGGCCAGCCCCCAGUUAAUCACUUUUAUGGAAUAAUAAAAG
rnacentral:lncRNA from 1 species